AUCUUUCUAGUAUAAAAGCUAGUACCUGUGACUUCCAAUCACACAGACCUGGUUAAACCCCAGGGAGAGAUA
rnacentral:tRNA from 1 species